rnacentral:rRNA from 1 species
CCUACGGGUGGCAGCAGUGAGGAAUAUUGGUCAAUGGACGAGAGUCUGAACCAGCCAAGUAGCGUGAAGGAUGACUGCCCUAUGGGUUGUAAACUUCUUUUAUAUGGGAAUAAAAUGUUCCACGUGUGGGCUUUUGUAUGUACCAUAUGAAUAAGGAUCGGCUAACUCCGUGCCCGCAGCCGCGGUAAUACGGAGGAUCCGAGCGUUAUCCGGGUUUAUUGGGUUUAAAGGGUGCGUAGGUGGAUUGUUAAGUCAGUUGUGAAAGUUUGCGGCUCAACCGUAAAAUUGCAGUUGAAACUGGCAGUCUUGAGUACAGUAGAGGUGGGCGGAAUUCGUGGUGUAGCGGUGAAAUGCUUAGAUAUCACGAAGAACUCCGAUUGCGAAGGCAGCACACUGGACUGCAACUGACACUGAGGCUCGAAAGUGUGGGUAUCGAACAGGAUUAGAUACCCCAGUAGUC